rnacentral:tRNA from 1 species
GGAAAUGGUAAUUCAACUGGAAAAAGAUCUUUGCCAAUAAGAUAAAUGCGGGUUCGACUCCCGCCCAUUUCCACC